AUUGAACGCUGGCGGCAGGCCUAACACAUGCAAGUCGAACGAGUGGCGGACUGGUGAGUAAUGUCUGGUAAACUUCCUGAUUGAGGGGGAUAACUACUGUAAACGGUAGCUAAUACCGCAUACCAUCAGAUGUUCCCAGAUGGGAUUAGCUAGUUGGUGGGUUAACGGCUCACCCAGGCGACGAUCCCUAGCUGGUCUGAGAGGAUGACCAGCCACACUGGACCGGAGACACGGUGCAGACUCCUACGGGAGGCAGCAGUGGGGAAUAUUGAACAAUGGGCGCAAGCCUGAUGCAGCCAUGCCGGGUGUAUGAAGAAGGCCUUCGGGUUGUAAAGUACUUUCAGCGGGGAGGCGUUACCCGCAGAAGAAGCACCGGCGAACUCCGUGCAAGCAGCCGCGGUAAUA
rnacentral:rRNA from 1 species